rnacentral:tRNA from 1 species
GCCUGGGUGGCUCAGUUGGUUGAGCGACUGACUUCGGCUCAGGUCAUGAUCUUGUGGUUCUGAGUUCGAGCCCCACAUCAGGCU